CUGAGGAGCAUCUCGCGUGAGGGAUGACGGCCUAUGGGUUGUAAACCUCUUUUUUCAGGGAGGAAUAAAUGACGUGUACCUGAAGAAUAAGCAUCGGCUAACUCCGUGCCAGCAGCCGCGGUAAGACGGAGGAUGCAAGUGUUAUCCGGAAUCACUGGGCGUAAAGCGUCUGUAGGUGGUUUGAUAAGUCAACUGUUAAAUCUUGAAGCUCAACUUCAAAAUCGCAGUCGAAACUAUCAGACUAGAGUAUAGUAGGGGUAAAGGGAAUUUCCAGUGGAGCGGUGAAAUGCGUAGAUAUUGGAAAGAACACCGAUGGCGAAGGCACUUUACUGGGCUAUUACUGACACUCAGAGACGAAAGCUAGGGUAGCAAAUGGGAUUAGAUACCCCAGUAGUCCUAGCCGUAAACCAUGGAUACUAGAUGUUGAACAGAUCGACCUGUGCAGUAUUAAAGCUAACGCGUUAAGUAUCCCGCCUGGGAAGUAUGCUCGCAAGAGUGAAACUCAAUGAANUUGACGG
rnacentral:rRNA from 1 species